rnacentral:rRNA from 1 species
UACGUAGGGUGCGAGCGUUGUCCGGAAUUAUUGGGCGUAAAGAGCUCGUAGGCGGUGUGUCACGUCGGCCGUGAAAACCUGCAGCUUAACUGUGGGCGUGCGGUCGAUACGGGCAUCACUGGAGUUCGGCAGGGGAGACUGGAAUUCCUGGUGUAGCGGUGAAAUGCGCAGAUAUCAGGAGGAACACCGGUGGCGAAGGCGGGUCUCUGGGACGGUACUGACGCUGAGACGCGAAAGCGUGGGUAGCAAACAGG